CCCGCACAAGCGGAGGAACAUGUGGUUUAAUUCGAUGAUACGCGAGGAACCUUACCUGGGCUUAAAUGUAGAGUGCAUUUUUUAGAGAUAGAAAUUCCCUUCGGGGCUUUCUGCAAGGUGCUGCAUGGUUGUCGUCAGCUCGUGCCGUGAGGUGUCGGGUUAAGUCCCAUAACGAGCGCAACCCUUAUCGUUAGUUGCCAGCUGGUAAAGCCGGGGACUCUAGCGAAACUGCCACCGUAAGGUGAGAGGAAGUGGGGAUGACGUCAAAUCAGCACGGCCCUUAUGUCCAGGGCUACACACGUGUUACAAUGGCCGGCACAGAGGGCAGCUACCUGGUGACAGGAUGCUAAUCUCGAAAACCGGUCUCAGUUCGGAUCGAAGUCUGCAACUCGACUUCGUGAAGCUGGAUUCGCUAGUAAUCGCGCAUCAGCCAUGGCGCGGUGAAUACGUUCCCGGGCCUU
rnacentral:rRNA from 1 species